rnacentral:rRNA from 1 species
AACGAACGCUGGCGGCAGGCUUAACACAUGCAAGUCGAACGCCCCGCAAGGGGAGUGGCAGACGGGUGAGUAACACGUGGGAACAUGCCCAAAGGUACGGAAUAUUCUCGGGAAACUGGGAGCAAUACCGUAUGUGCCCGAAAGGGGAAAGAUUUAUCGCCUUUGGAUUGGCCGGCGUUGGAUUAGCUAGUUGGUGGGGUAAAAGCCUACCAAGGCGACGAUCCAUAGCUGGUCUGAGAGGACGACCAGCCACACUGGGACUGAGACACGGCCCAGACUCCUACGGGAGGAAGCCGUGGGGAAUCUUGGACAAUUGGCGCAAGCUUGAUCCAGCCAUGCCGCGUGGAUGAUGAAGGCCCUAGGGUUGUAAAAUCCUUUCGUUGGGGACGAUAAUGACGGUACCCAAAGAAGAAGCUCCGGCUAACUUCGUGCCAGCAGCCGCGGUAA